AUGCGAGCCGACGCCUCAGGCUACGGUGGGGCGUGGCGCACGGCUGAGUAACACGUGGCCAACUUACCCUUAGGACGGGGAUAACCCCAGGAAACUGGGGCUAAUCCCCGGCAGGCAAGGGCGCCUGGAAUGGUCCCUUGCUCAAAGGGGGCUGGGACCACGCUUCUCAGCCUCCGCCUAAGGAUAGGGCUGCGGCCCAUCAGGUUGUUGGCGGGGUAACGGCCCGCCAAGCCGAUAACGGGUAGGGGCCGUGAGAGCGGGAGCCCCCACAUGGGCACUGAGACAAGGGCCCAGGCCCUACGGGGCGCAGCAGGCGCUAAAACUCCGCA
rnacentral:rRNA from 1 species